UACGUAGGUGGCAAGCGUUGUCCGGAUUUACUGGGCGUAAAGAGCGCGCAGGCGGUCGUCCAAGUCGCGUGUGAAAGCCCCCGGCUCAACUGGGGAGGGUCACGCGAUACUGGUCGACUCGAAGGCAGGAGAGGGUAGUGGAAUUCCCGGUGUAGUGGUGAAAUGCGUAGAUAUCUGGAGGAACACCGGUGGCGAAGGCGGCAUCCUGGACCGACACUGACGCUGAGGAGCGAAAGCCAGGGGAGCAAACGGG
rnacentral:rRNA from 1 species